rnacentral:rRNA from 1 species
GCGAGAAAACUUUGCAAUGUGCGAAAGCACGACAAGGUUAAUCCGAGUGGUUUCUGCUAAAGAAACCUUUUGUCAGUCCUAGAAACACUAACGAAUAAGGGGUGGGCAAGUUCUGGUGUCAGCCGCCGCGGUAAAACCAGCACCUCAAGUGGUCAGGAUGAUUAUUGGGCCUAAAGCAUCCGUAGCUCGUUUUGUAAGUUUUCGGUUAAAUCCAUGCGCUUAACGUAUGGGCUGCCGGGAAUACUGCAUAACUAGGAAGUGGGAGAGGUAGACGGUACUCGGUAGGAAGGGGUAAAAUCCUUUGAUCUAUUGAUGACCACCUGUGGCGAAGGCGGUCUACCAGAACACGUUCGACGGUGAGGGAUGAAAGCUGGGGGAGCAAACCGGAUUAGAUACCCCUGUAGUCCCUGAGCGGGCUGGCAAGGCGCAU